rnacentral:lncRNA from 1 species
AGUGCAAGAGGUUCAAAUAUUUUCCUUCAAUCUCAUUUUCUAUGUUUUUUUUUAGAGAAUUCAUCCUCACCACUACAAUAGCUUGUGCUCAAGAAUACAAUGAUAUUUCUCUUCCAAUACAUGAUAAGGUAUGGAUUUUGUUUGUUUCAGGAGAAGUCCAGUACCUUGAUGGACAAAGCUGGUAAUGCUGCUCAAUAUGCAAAGGAAUCAGUGCAAAGGGGUACUCAAAUAUUUUCCUUCAAUCUCAUUUUCUAUGUUUUUUUCAGAGAAUUCAUCCUCACCACUACAGUAGCUCAAGAAUAUUGUUUUGAUACUUGUUCUUCGUGUAGGCUGGUCAACAGGUGAUGUCUACGGCACAGGGAGCUGUUCAAGGAAUAAAGAAUGCAACUGGCAUGAACAAAUGAAUUAGCUGAAUGGAGCAAUUUAGAAAUUAAAUGCAAUGUUCAUCUAUUGUUUUGUUUCUGUCAUUUCCUUUUGUAUAAAGAAGAGAGCUCUCUCUGUAGCUCUCUCGUGAUCGAUGUUUGCAGGCAGAUGUUGCCCUAAUUAGUGAAAUUUUACUUCAGUUUCGUACUUGUUUAAAGAUCUUCUGGCUCGGUU